rnacentral:rRNA from 1 species
AGAUUGAACGCUGGCGGCAUGCCUUACACAUGCAAGUCGAACGGUAGCAGGCCUUCGGGUGCUGACGAGUGGCGAACGGGUGAGUAAAGUAUCGGAACGUACCAUUCAGUGGGGGAUAACGUAGCGAAAGUUACGCUAAUACCGCAUAUUCUGUGAGCAGGAAAGCAGGGGAUCGCAAGACCUUGCGCUGAUUGAGCGGCCGAUAUCAGAUUAGCUUGUUGGUGAGGUAAAGCUCACCAAGGCGACGAUCUGUAGCGGGUCUGGAGAGGAUGAUCCGCACACUGGAACUGAGACACGGUCCAGC